AAGCUCAGCUUCUCAGGUCUUUUCUCCUCUUUUCUCAAGUAGCGGGGCCAAAGAUUGCUUCCAAAUGAACCAUCAUUCAUUUACAAGCACAGCAAGCAUUUUGAGUUUUACCAACAAUUUUCUUUUUCUUGGUAUCCUCUGCUUCCCCGUAGCUUAACCCUGACGGAAAAGGAGGAUGUCGUUCGGUUCUCAUCAAGACAAGAAUCGGGCUGGGGAACAAAGAGGAUAGAUAAACGCAUUCAGGACUGGGCUGGAGAACUAGGCAACAGUUGUGAACAUAGCUGUCACUUCUAAAACUAACCAGCUGAGACUCUGAGAUGUGAAGCCAUUCACCCAAGAUCACCCAGGGGAUACAAGGCGGAGCUCAGUUGAAGCAGCUUUAUUGUGGAGAAAGACCAGCAAUGGGUACCACUCUGAGUCAGCUAUGAUCACUGGUACCCAGCAGACAGGCUCUCAGCGCCAGGUGUCAGAGGAUGAUGGGCGGCUACACAAGAAGAAGGAUGCUGAGCUGAAGGGAGAGUGUACUGAAAGAGUGGUGCCAUGGCAACCUGCAGGCAAGCCCUGUGCAAGAAGCAACAAAAGGAAGAAGUACUGGAGUGUGGUGGCUCAUAAAAGGCUGAAGCAGGCAAAUUCCUGUGAGUUGGAAGACAUCUUGGACUACAGAAUGAGACUCCUCUAAAACU